AGAUUGGUUAUAUAAGACCAAAGAUCCUAAACUUUGUUCUGAUGGUGAAGGUCCUGAGCAAGAGUAAAAGUGUCGCCUCAAUGAAGACGUGAAAAUGUGAGCAACCAACAAGCUUGAGAGUGUCUGGUGCAGGUCCUGAGCAAGAGUAAAAGCAUUAUGUGAUCUUCUGAUGUGGAAGGAAGCACAACGUGGCAUUAUGCUGAAUCUGCAACUUGUUUCCUAUAAUAAUGUUCAGUUUGUUUGUCCGUCUGUAGCCUCUGCAAUUCAAUAGAUUGUGUAGAAUAUCUGGGUUUUGGUAAUGUUAUGAAUUGUAGUAUCAGUUUCUGUGUGAUGCCUGCUGUUUCUUUCUAAUCUAAAUCUGGCUUAAGAGGUUACAGAAUAAGCUUUGUGAUCACGCUGA